AAACAUGCAGUAGGAAGGAAAAUGUGAAGAAGAAAGUUUGAUUCAUCAGUAGCUUUUUUUGGUAUUAUUUCUUUCAAUGUGAUUAAUAGCUUUUUUUCUUUAGCUGGAUUUGUUUAUGGUUCAUUUGGUUUAAAUUGGAGAAAGUAAGGAUAUUGCUUCAAUUUUUAAAAAAAUUCAAAUGGUCGUCAUGAUUUUUUUAAUUCAUUUUCUUGUGGCUAAUCGGUAAUCUAUGAAAGGUUUUUUUUGUUUGGGCUGGUAGUUCAAUUUUUGGUUCAGACCUG
rnacentral:lncRNA from 1 species